AUUGAACGCUGGCGGCAGGCCUAACACAUGCAAGUCGAACGAGUGGCGGACGGGUGAGUAAUGUCUGGGAAACUGCCUGAUGGAGGGGGAUAACUACUGGAAACGGUAGCUAAUACCGCAUACCAUCGGAUGUGCCCAGAUGGGAUUAGCUAGUAGGUGGGGUAACGGCUCACAUAGGCGACGAUCCCUAGCGGGUCUGAGAGGAUGACCGGCCACACGGGAACGGAGACACGGUCCAGACUCCUACGGGAGGCAGCAGUGGGGAAUAUUGCCCAAUGGGCGCAAGCCUGAUGCAGCCAUGCCGCGUGUGUGAAGAAGGCCUUCGGGUUGUAAAGUACUUUCAUCGGGGAGGCGUUACCCGCAGAAGAAGCACCGGCUAACUCCGUGCCAGCCGCCGCGGUAAUUC
rnacentral:rRNA from 1 species